CGUAAAAUUUUAUUUAUGCUAAUUGUCUUAAAUUACAUAUGAUUUUAAUAAUGUAAUUACUUCCCGCUGCUUAUUAUAAUCCAUCACUACCUUAUCAUAAGUUAUCAUCAGAAGCCUUGAAAACUUUUUGGCCUUUAGCUCCUCUUCAUCCAAUGGGUAAGGACAAUCGGCUUCAAGUAUAACAAAUCAAAGUACUAUUCAUAUACAAUCUCAAACUGAUAAAAGGAAAAGUUUGGUAAAACAUACAUGCUUUUAAGACACAUAAAACUAGUUUAUCUGAGUGGAUUUCUGCACCUCUUCAAAUGCAUUUAUUUUGUUUCUUUUGUCAUCUUGAUGAACUACUUCGGAAUAAACUAAAAGCUACUGAGCAUAUUAAAUUAAACACAAAUUUCCAAGCCAAGCAAAAAUAUUACAACAGUAACCAAUAAGUAAAGCAUUUUAUUAACUGUCAGAGUCAAAGGCUUGAAGGGAAAACAUUUAAAAGAAAUUUAGAAGUUUGCAAACAGCGUAAAGUGCAAACAUUAACUGGCAGGCCUUAUUUGAAGAGCCCCAAAAAAUAAUGCAGCACUUCCUAAAUAUUAUGUGAUUCACAUUAAGAAAAAUUAAAAGUCUAAUUAAUUACACGCGAUACCUAAAUACACAAUUUUAUUUUAUAAUAUUUUCGGUAAAGAGUCUCUCUACCUGCAUUCAUGUGACGACCCAAUGGGUUCAUCAUUUAUUUAUUUUUUGUUCUGUACUUUCAGGGCUUUAAGACCUCCUCUCGGGUUGCCCCGAUUAGCGUGCGCAAUCCCGCCGCGUAGCCGAAAAGCUUAGAUAUGGAUGCUGUGAGAAAAAUGAUAAUUUUGGUAUUAAAUUGAACAAAUUUGACUUCGGUCAACGUUUUGGGUAAACGGAUCCGGGCUCGUGAUUUGGCGGUCGCGAAGGGUCAGUAGGAAAAUAUGGGACUUGAGCGUAUCCCUGUAAUCAGAUUCUGAGAUCUCAAGCCUGAGAAAUGAAUUUUUAUAUGAAAUUAUUUUCUGGAAUUAAUAAAGAAAAUGGAAACGAGAUUUGAUUAAAAAACUGGGGCUAUCGGGUCCGUGUUUUGGUUUCGGUGCCCGGUACAAAUUUUAUAUAUGAUUGGAGCUCUUCCUAUAAAGUCUGCUUGAAAACGGACGUCGUUUCACGUGUUUCGGACCCGAAAUGAGAAUUUUAUGUCUUAUGAAAUUUGGAAAAAAUCAUGAGUUUUGAGGCUCUAUCUGAUGUAUAUGGUAGUGUCUUGGCGAUUUGAACGCACUGACAAGUCCGUAGGAUAUUUUUGAAGUAGUGUGUAUGUUUGGUUUGGAGCUCCGAGGGCUCGAGUGAGUUUCGAGUCGGUCCCGGGAGGUCUUAGACUUAAAACACCAAAUGUUGCAUGUCAGGUGCAAGCUGCAGGUUCCGGUGCGGCCGCGGUCGUGAUCGCGCAAUCCGCGGCGUGAGCUGCGCCGCCGUGAUCGUCCUCGCGCGGUCCAAGCAGCCCGCUUUAGAGAACCCCGAGCCUUCUGUCCCUCUUGUGCGGUCUGAUUCGCUUUUGCGCGGUCCGCGGUGUGAGCCGCGCGACCGCGGUCAUCCUUGCACGGACCGCACUGCCCACCUCAGAGGACCUGCAACUUUCAGCUCCACCAGCGCGGCUGCGGUCAUCCUCGCGCGGUCCGUGCUGGAGGUUCAGAGAGUAUAUAUACACGGGAUUUUUCAGUUAUUUCUCACUUUUCAAAAACCCAAAACCUAAGAGGUCCGGAGGGGCUCCUACAGCCCAAGCGCUAUAUCAUACAGUGCCAAUAGAUACCACUGUUUUCAUCUCACUUUUCAAAAACCAAAAACAUAAAAGGCAAUUUUUAAGCAAUUCUUCUCCUUCAAGAUGAUUGGUAAGUGGCUUCUAACUCAUUUUCUUCACUUCUUAACACCUUUUAACAUAAUUUCAACAUUAAAUUGAAGGUUUUAAGGGGUAAAUUCGGGUAUAUUGGGUAAGACUUAGGGUUUUGCUAAAAUUGAGGAUUGGACCUCGAUUCGGGGUCUGAUUUCAAAACUAACCAUAUAAUUGGAUUCGUGGGGAAUGGGUAAUAAGAUUUUAGUUCGAACAUCGGGUUUUGACCACGUUAGCCCGAGGGGCAUUUUGGUUAUUUUAUCUAAAUUUACAUCUUAGCUUUAAAUUAAAUAGUAGAAUUAGUUGUUUGAGAUGUUAUUUACGAGAUGUAAUUGAAAUGAAUAGAUUUAGGCAAUUUGGAGUCGGAUACUCGUGGCAAAGGAGUGCUUUCAAGUUGAUUCUUGGAGCUGAUUAAGGUAAGUGGCUAUUCUAACCUUGUGUGGGGAACCCUUGAAGUUGGAUACUCGUGGCAAAAGAGUGAUUUGAACUUGAUUUUGGAGCCGAUUGAAGUAAGUGGCUUGUCUAACCUUGUGUGGGGGACCUUCCACUUAGGAUAUGGUGUUUGUUAAUUGAAUGCCUCGUACGUGAGGUGACGAGCGCGUAUUUGAGCAAAUUGUUGGAAAAUUCAUUUUUACUUGAAGUAUUUAAAUUGAAUUUUGUUGCUUACCUGUUCAUUUUGAAUUGUGAGUUUAUUCUAUGCUAGAUUAGAGAGGCAUAUUCGUUUGACUUGCUGCCAAGUGUUAAACUGUCCUGUUUGUAUUCCGCGUAGUAUGUUUGGCCAGUAUUUUUCUAUUUCUUGUCCUGAGUUAGUAUCUUUCUAAAUGUUUGGGUUUCUAUUGUGUGUUUUUAAAUUGGGACUACGAGUUGGCCUCCCGGGAGAUCCCCCUGCACUUGAUAAUGAGGAUACUAAGAGAUCCUCGGGAUACCAAGAGAUCCCUAGUGAAUAUUAUGAGGAUACCAAGAGAUCCUCGGGAUACCAAGAGAUCUCUAGUAAAUAUGAUGAGGAUACCAAGAGAUCCUCGAGAUACCAAGAGGGACGAAGGGUAAGGGAUACCAAGAGAUCCCUGGCACAUGAAAGUCUAAGAUUGAUGAUACCAAGAGAUCCUCGGGAUACCAAGAGAUCCCCAGUGAAUAUAAUGAGGAUACCAAGAGAUCCUCGGGAUACAAAGAGAUCCCUAGUGAAUUUAAUGUGGAUACCAAGAGAUCCCCGGGAUACCAAGAGACCCCUAGUAAAUAUAAUGAGAAUACCAAGAGAUCCUUUGGAUACCAAGAUAUCCCUAGUGAAUAUAAUGAGGAUGCCAAGAGAUCAUCGGGAUACCAAGAGAUCCCUAGUGAAUAUAAUGAGGAUACCAAGAGAUCCCUAGUGAGUAUAAUGAGGAUACCAAGAGAUCCCUCGUGAAUAUGAUGAGGAUACCAAGAGAUCCUCGGGAUACCAAGAGAUCCUCGGGAUACCAAGAGAUCCCUAGCGGANNNNNNNNNNNNNNNNNNNNNNNNNNNNNNNNNNNNNNNNNNNNNNNNNNNNNNNNNNNNNNNNNNNNNNNNNNNNNNNNNNNNNNNNNNNNNNNNNNNNNNNNNNNNNNNNNNNNNNNNNNNNNNNNNNNNNNNNNNNNNNNNNNNNNNNNNNNNNNNNNNNNNNNNNNNNNNNNNNNNNNNNNNNNNNNNNNNNNNNNNNNNNNNNNNNNNNNNNNNNNNNAGCUUGGCACUUACUGAGUACCGUUGUGGUGUACUCAUGCCUCUUCUGCGCAUGUUUUCCAUGUGCAAAUCCAGGUAACCCAUCUCAGGUGCACUAUCACCGAGGCAGAUAGAUCUAGCGGAGACUCAAGGCUAUUUUAUCCUGUAGUUAGCUAGUUUGUUCCUGUUUUUCAUUAGUAAAGGUGAGAAAAUCACAUAUCGAUAGGCACAAAAAAUAAAAACAACAACUGAAGAACACAGAGAUAAAAAAAAACCUUGUUGUAUGGAGAUUUUAAUGCGUUUAGCACCGAGAGAAAGUAAUACUUCAUCCUCUAUGUAAUACUCAAAGCUAGUUUUUACAACAUAAUCCUUGUCAAAAUGGAACCAUAAAAUAAUACUUGAGAAUAGAGAAAGCAGUGAGAUGCAUAAGAAAUAUAAUAGAAAGCCUACUUCAAAUAAAUUUCUCAAACACCUAAGUUACAAAAGCUCUUUGCAUGUUAAAGUUUAUGUGCUCGACAGCCCUAAGACCUCAUAAGAAAAUACAAAUUCCUAACAUGUCAUCGAAGAUAAAACAGAUGAUAGAAGAAACAAAAUAUAAAAAGAAGAAUACCCACCAAAAAAUAAUGAUUUAGAAAGAAAAAUUCAGUAGCAACAUUAGGAUCAAAGGAGUAAGAGGAGAACUGUUUGGAGAUAGAGAAAUUUGAGAAAUCUAAGAUCGAUAAGAGAAAUGAAACAAUCACUCCCCUUAUGAUGAAAAUGAAGUUCACAUAUUGGACAAGCAAUACAGAGAAUUAGCUAUAUUGAAUAGCAUUAGCAACAUAUAUAAAUUAUUGUGUUUCUAUGCAUAUAAAUUUAUCAUAUAUUGUAUAAUUCUCAUUCAGGAAGAAAAAAUCACCGGGAGAAAUGAAAGUACUUACAAAUUGGUCAUAUAUCUGCGAAUUCCUGAUAAAUUCUUUAUAGCUGAUAAAUUGUUUACCAUUCAUUUGUGCUACCCAAAUAUCGGAUGAUCUUGUAAAAUAACAAAUAGAUGACUUUACAGUUUAAAGACGUGCAUUUUUUCACGAAGCUUUUCUUUGAAAGAUAAUAAAGUAUAAAAGAAAAAGAAUUAGGAACCAGAGAACUAAUAUACGAUGCGCAUUGACUCAAGUUGCAAGAUUUUGCAAGAGACAAUUAAAAGAAAGCUAAGAGAGUAGGAAUAGGUGCAAUAAUGGAGCACCAUUUUGUUCUAUAAUUGAAUUGAAUUCAAACUUUGGGCGUUACCUUAUGUGGUGCACCGACGCUUGAAACUGUUGCGCCAUUCUCUCUAUGAUCCUCAUGGCUGUUGUUUUCAUAUACAUUCAC
rnacentral:lncRNA from 1 species